rnacentral:rRNA from 1 species
UACGCGGGGGGCGAGCGUUGUUCGGAAUUAUUGGGCGUAAAGGGUGCGUAGGCGGUUUGGUAAGUCUUAUGUGAAAUCUACAGGCUCAACUUGUAGUCUGCAUGAGAAACUGCCGGGCUUGAGUAUGGGAGAGGUGAGUGGAAUUCCUGGUGUAGCGGUGAAAUGCGUAGAUAUCAGGAGGAACACCAAUUGCGAAGGCAGCUCGCUGGGACGUUACUGACGCUGAGACGCGAAAGCGUGGGGAGCAAACAGG